GCUCUGGUGGCUUAGUUGGUUAAAGCGUCGGUCUCAUAGUGUACUUCAACCGAGACAUCCGAAGGUCGUGAGUUCGACUCUCACCCAGAGCA